GUAAGCAAAUCUCAUGAUCAUAAAAAGCUUUCAUUCAAUAUUGAUAGAGGUGAAGAAGUGAGUGAUGAUUUUGAAGGUAUUAGAGUAAAGUGGAAAUUAAUAUGCAUACAAGAAGAUGGAUCACGAAUUCGACAUAAUGAUAUGUACGCCUCAUCCAUGUCAGAAAUUAGAUCCUAUGAACUAACUUUUCACAAGAAACACAAGAACAAGAUCAUCGAUUCAUAUUUGCCUUAUGUGAUGGAGAUGGCUAAACAAAUUAAAGAAGCAAACAUGGCUAUCAAGAUUCACUCAAAUGACUAUGGUUGCUGGAGUCAUGAACCUGUCAAGUUCAACCAUCCAAUGAGUUUCAACACUCUUGCAAUUGAUGAAGAGCUUCAAAGGGAAAUUAUGAAUGAUUUGGACAAUUUUGUGAAGGCCAAAGAGUUUUAUAGAAGAACAGGGAAAGCUUGGCAACGCGGUUACUUGUUGUACGGUCCUCCUGGUACUGGAAAGUCUAGCUUGAUUGCAGCCAUGGCUAACUAUCUCAACUAUGACAUCUAUGACUUGGAUCUCACUGACGUACAAGAUAAUAAGAUCUUGAAGCAGCUUAUUCUUGGUAUGUCCAACCGUUCUAUACUUGUGAUAGAGGAUAUCGAUUGCACUAUAAAUUUGCAAAACCGAGAAGAAGAUAAAGACGUGGUUGAUAAUGGAUACAAUAAGGUAUGUAUAUCUCUUCAAAAUAUAUCUAUCAUUCAUCUUUUAGAUUUUGAUGCAUAUGACAUGAACCAAGUAUAGAUUUAUAUAAUGGAUUGUAGUCAUAAUUAGCAAAAAAAAUUUGGUCGAAUUGCUAAGGAUGCAACUCAUUCUGCACGAGGGCGUAAUAUUUAGCUGACAAAGAUUAGUCAAAUUUGUAAGAUGUGAUGUAACUCAUGCUCCACGAUAUUAGAGGCAUUUACAUUAGAAUUAUUUGUUUCCUUUCUAAGUAUUUAGCCAAUUUAUUAUUGCACAUUAAUUAUUGAUGUUGUUGACCACAUAUAUAUAGGUAUAUAUAUGUCAAGCUCCCUCUGUGUAUCAAUAACAAUUAUAAUUUCAUCAAUAUCAGAUUUUUUCCAAUCAUCAGAACAAGUUCUGUAAUACACGAGGUGAUUCGUUCAGUUGGUUAUGACUGUGAUACCAACAAAAAGAAUAAUGAAACGAGAGAAAUAAGAAAUUUGGAAUUGAUAAAAUUAAAUUGAUUGAUUGAAAUGUGUGUAGAAUGCAUUUUAUAUAGUCAUUAUUAAUAUAACCUGUUAGAGCAUAGGUUCAGAAUGCUUACUUACCUGUUUUAUCAUAACGAGUCUCUAUAAUGCAACUCUUGUAAAGUUUCAUGUAUAAAAAAAUUACUGUAAGGUUGUUAGUAAGAUGAAAGACUACUUGAAUCGAAUGGCGUCAUAUUCUUCUGUUCAUGUCAAAUGUUUUUUUAUUGGAAAACUAAAAUGUUUGUUUCAAAAUUUCAACAGGUGACACUUUCAGGACUGUUGAAUGCAGUAGAUGGUCUUUGGUCAUGCUGUGGAGAAGAACACAUAAUUGUAUUCACAACAAAUCACAAAGACAAGCUUGAUCCUGCUCUGCUAAGACCUGGUAGAAUGGACAAGCAAAUUCACUUGUCAUAUUGCAACUUUUCUGCUUUGAAGCAAUUGGUUGUUAACUACCUUUGCAUUACUCAACAUGAACUCUUUGAAGAGAUUGAAGUGCUUCUAGGAGAAGUUCAAGUUACUCCAGCUGAAAUUGCAGAAGAGCUAACAAAGGACUGUGAUGCAACAGAAUGUCUAGAAGACCUUAUCAAAUCCCUCCAAGCCAAGAAAAUGAUCAAGGAAGACAUUAAUAAUGAAGAAAAUGUCAAAGAAGAACAUGAACUAGGCAGCUAUGAAGAAGGGACUGCGGCAGACUCCGACACAGGCUCCAACACGAACACAUGACAUGACACUGACACGAACACGUCGGCACAACUAAUUUAAAAAAACAUAGAACAACGAUAAGGCUACCUGAACUGCCAGAGAGCAAACAAAAGAUUUUUUGGGGACUCUUUAAUUACUUUACUUGGAGGCAUGGCCGGUCUCAAGAUUGUUGGUGUUAUUAAUUAUGUAAAAGAUGUAAAGCUCUUUGUAAAUCUGUGUAACUUGUGUGUCUUGUGUGAUCACACCUCAUAUAUUUAUACUAGUAUUUACAAUCAAUACAUUGAAUGCUUUAAUUACUUAGCACUAACUUGGUAAGUUGUAUAGUCUAGAGUUACCAACAAUCAGUCUAGAGACUUCUGUAAUUCUAGCAUUCAAUUUUACUACAUGAUUGCGAUUGUGAUUUCAGUUUUACUGAUUAAAUCGUAUAUGAUUAUAUAUUUUAAUUUGAAUUAAUAACGGAGCAUAUAAAUAUAAAUUAUAAUCAUUUAGAACGAUGAAGAAAUUUUUUUAUCAAAUAAAUUAUUCAAAUAUAAGAUUUCAAACUGAAAUCAAUAUUUUAUUUUUUCACUAAUCAUAAAAUUUAUUUGUGUAGUACAAUUUGUGCGUUGCAACAACACACAGGUUUGUAAUCACACUUGCCACCCAAAGUAUAGCCAUUUCUUAAACAAUAAUUACCACAAUCUUGACCUUUACUUAGACAUGGCCCUUUGCCAAUGCAAUAAUCAUAAGGAGGUAUUCCAUCAACUGCUCCUCCUACAAUCAAUAUAGUAAUGUCACAAGAUGCAUGUCAGCAUAUCAAAUAUUAAAUCUAACAAGUUUUAUUAUUGAUCUAAUUUGUAAAAAAAAUAGUUGUAGAUGAAGUAAAGAUUUUACCUAUUGUCAAAACGGAAGCAAUACAUAAAAUUGCAAUGAAAAAAUGCACCCGGUUGAUACAUGUUGUCAUAUUCUCUUGAAAGAUGAACAAACAAUGCUACAAGGAGCUAUUUAUAGAGUGUUCUAGGGAAACUAUUAUAAGUUUUUUUCUGUAUUAAAUUAAAAUCUAAAGUUUUUUUUUGACUAAAAAGAUCUAUACUUUUUUUUUUGACUAAAAAGAUCUAUACAUUUAAAACGAAAUCUCAUAUUAAUAUUAAAAAAUAAAUAAUUAAGAUUUUUAAAAGGAAAAUGUUAAAACUAAAAUAAAAAAUUAUCAUCACAUAUGGAGAGCACUGUCAGGCAUGUACGUUUGAGCGGAUCAUCCUUUACGUCGGAUGGUUCAGAGACGGUAAUCUAAAGGUGAAAUAUCUGUCGGAGCGAGUGUUGCGUUAGUUUGGGUACUAGAAGACCGUCCCUAGACAUCCUCAUGAGAGUGCACCUCCCCAGGAGAUCUUAGUGGAUAUCAACAGUUGGGUCACCGUGCACUGCAGGGAGUGGAGGUGGAAGAGGGAUACAUCAGAUGGUUUUAUCUCGUCUCUCUUCCACGCAUGAUUCUUCCAAACCAGGAGGUUCAGGUGCCGAGCCCACCAGAUCAGAGGUCGUUGAUGAGAUUGUUGUUAAGGAGGAUGGAGAGCAUGGGUUCUAAGAGUUGGGUGGAAGGUUGGGCCGUAUCAGAGACCAUAUAUAUGUUGUUAUGUCCAGUGGUGUGGUGCCACAAGGGUCUGAGGCAUGACAAUAUUUGGAGGAUGUCUCGAGAGAGGUUUAUGGUGGAAAGGUUUAUCGUCGUAGGCAUAAUGUUGAAGGUGGCACGGGUGUAGUCAUUGGAUAAUUUUAAUUUUUUAUUAUGUGAUAUUUGAAUAAUUGGUGAGGUAACAUUUGGAUAAUUUUAUUUUUAUGUUCGAGUAAUAUUAUGUUUUGAAAAAUUAUGUUGUGUUGUUCAUUGUUGUUUUGAAUUAUAUUUUCUGCUUGAACAUAUGGUCAAAUGCAUGAUUAUGUCGUUUUGAAGUAAUCUAAUGCGUCAAAUGCAUGUUUUAGCCCAAAACAGUCAAGUCUGUCUCUGUGCUGAUGCAGUUUGAAUUAUAUAAUUCGGAAACAUCCUUUUCCACCAUAUAUAUGUUCACUUCCUACAGGGAGUUUGACACAUUUUGGAUUAUAUAAUCCGGAAUGUGUAAAAUCAGUUUAGAUUAUAUAAUCCGAACUCAAUCAAUGCAAUUUAGCAUAAUGAUCCUUCAGGGUGCCAGAAGCUCCAAAAGGCUCGAAAAGUUUCGGAUUAUAUAAUUCAAAAGUAGUUCAAAUUAUAUAAUCCUGAUGAUGGUAUUUUUGGAGAAAAAAAAUAGGACGCGCUAGAAACCAGCAGGAUGGGAAAAAUAUGUUUGCAUUCUAUUAGCUCUUUAAUCUUCCUAUGUAGGCAUUGAACCUUUUGUGAAGUUUCAAAUCCAAUUAAUAACUCUGUUCAUGACUAUCUUAAUUAAACUACUUAUUUCUGCUAAUAAAUCCUCUUAAUUGUAAUACAACUCCCUCCAUCCUAAAAUACACCAAGUAGAUGUAAUACACCAAUACAUUGUAACUUGUAAGAGUACUUUAGUAAACAUAUUAUUUUCUCUACUUCAUUCAUAGAAAAUUCCACAUACUUGAUAAAGAAAUCAAGAGUUUUUUUUUUUUUUUUUUUUUUUUUUUAAGAAUGGAAAUCAAGAGUUAAAUAUGAUGUCUACCAAGUCAACACACUUGAAAUAAAAAAUAAAGUCGUUUUCACACUGUUCGAGCAAUGUAAAAGCAUUGAUUAACAUAAAGAGUUGUAGAUGUUAUUUUCAUAUGAGACUAGUGCCAUUGAAAUUAUAACAUCAACUUUUGAAAUGCUAUGAACAUCUCAUAACCCGAUUCCAACGUUUAGCGGACCAAAAGUAUCCUCCAAGUUAUAAAGAAGUCAAAAUAAAAUGUUGAGCAAUAUUCAAACUUUGAACUAUAUAUUUUGAGUUUUAUACAAUUAGUUUUAGGAUGAGAGUAGGUCCAUCUGAAAGCUAAAUCAAUGUUUACAAUUCGUAUGAAGAACUUGAGUCAAAAUUAUAUCGAUUUGUGUCAAAUUGGUGUGUUAGAAACUAAGUAUAGAUUAAUGUUUUUUGACUCAUACAUUUUAGGGUUAAUUAAAUUUUUAUCCCUAUAAAUAUUCACAGUUUAGUUUUUAGUCCCUACAAAAUAAAAUCACACUUUUUAGUCCCUAUGACAUUUUCCUUAAACAUUUUAGGGACCAAAAUUGUUGAUGAAAAUUUUUGACGGGGACUAAAAAUGCUGAUCAGAACAAUGUUCACGGACACUCGUAAUUUGAUGAUAUUUCUUUAUUUAUUUUUUUUACUAGAAAGGAAAUUAAAUCUGAAAUGAAUUCUCCCAACAUUAAAAGAAAGACUAUUUGCUCCUAGAAAAGUCAAUGAGCUUGCUGUGCACGUUCCGUCAAAAACAAAAAACUUGCUAUGCACAUUAUUCAUGGUAUAGUUUCAACUAUAUAUAACUUUAUACAACUAUGGAAAGAAACAUAUCUUGAACCAUAUCAUUCAAGAUCCAAACUACAAACCAUCUUUACUCCCUCACAUUAAGAAACUAUCUUCAAUCAUUGUUCUGAUCUUUUGCAGGAAUCGAAUUUACUGCAGUCAGAUCGCAACAAUGAUCGACAGCAAGACAGUUUUAUCGGCAAUGGCCUCUAUUGUGCUAGUGCGAAACAUCACGAAAGAAGUCGUUCCUCAUGAGAUCCUAAACUUUGUACAACCAUGUUUUUCACCAAUUCUCAGCGCAAUUUACCAUAGUCAUUGAAGAAUUUCAAGGGAUGGCAAAAAACCAAGUAUUUGAGGCUGCUGAAACCUAUCUAGGAACUAAAGCAACAGUCUCAACAGAAAGAGUUAAAGCAAGCAAAUCUCAUGAUCACAAGAAACUUUCAUUCAAUAUUGAUAGAGGUGAAGAAGUGAGUGAUGAUUUUGAAGGUAUUACAGUAAAGUGGAAAUUAAUAUGCAUACAAGAAGAUGGAUCACGAAUUCGACAUAAUGAUAUGUACACCUCAUCCGUGUCAGAAAUUAGAUCCUAUGAACUAACUUUUCACAAGAAACACAAGAACACGAUCUUCGAUUCAUAUUUCCCUUAUGUGAUGGAGAUAGCUAAACAAAUUAAACAAGGAAACAUGGCUAUCAAGAUUCUCUCAACUGAAC
rnacentral:lncRNA from 1 species